UACAGAGGUCCCAAGCGUUGUUCGGAUUCACUGGGCGUAAAGGGUGCGUAGGCGGUCGGGUAAGUCUGAUGUGAAAUCCCGCAGCUCAACUGCGGAACGGCAUUGGAUACUCUCCGGCUAGAGGAAUGGAGGGGAGACUGGAAUUCUCGGUGUAGCAGUGAAAUGCGUAGAUAUCGAGAGGAACACCAGUGGCGAAGGCGAGUCUCUGGACAUUUCCUGACGCUGAGGCACGAAAGCCAGGGGAGCAAACGGU
rnacentral:rRNA from 1 species